GGCUUCACUUUUGGAGUCAGAACUUCUGAAUGAAUAUUGCCUCUCCUCGGCUGCGCGUCUGGUGUGAAGGCGAAGAUUCUUCUGUUGCAAGACAUUACCAUGCUCGUUGAUGGCCCGAGAGGACGUUUUGAUGGACAGGUUCGACACACCUUCCUGUAGAGAUCUUCUUCUUCGUCCAGCAGUUCCUCAGGGCCGUACUCAUGCUGAUGUAUGUUGGUGUCUUUUUUAAACAUACUGCUUCUCACUGCCCGUCGGAGCUCUGAAAGCCGUAUUGGAAUUUGGAGAUGGAGAACAAUGAUACAUUUCCUUGGCCUCCUCCAGAGCCUCUUCACUGCCCCACACCUCCAAAGAGCGUUUCACCACCUUAACAUUUACAAUACAGUAUAAAAAAAGAGAACCAAACAAACAAAGACUGUUGCAAAAUAUCAAUGAUUUUGAUUCUUAAAAUGCAUUCAACUGUUAAAAACAACAAGACAAACAAUUGAAUGAAAAUAAAACUUUGUUUAAAGGAACAUUCUACUUUCAUUAAAAAAAUCCUGAUAAUUUACACAUGUUAUCCAAGAUUUGAACAUUAUUGGACCCCAACAGUUCACAGUUUCAAUGCAG